UGUCUGUCCUCCCCUCCUUUCCCCACCCGGCCCGCCUCUCCACCCCGAUAUCUUCCACCACCACAACGCCCCCCCCCCCCCCGGCGAGGAGUAAGUGCCACCGCUCCGCCUUCUCCUUUUCGCAAUGUUGACGCAAUCUAUAAAUAGUGGAACAAAAGAACCAACUUCCUCGCAGCUUUGCUGAAACUGCACAAAAAAGGCAACCGGGGGGCGAGGGGGGGACGGGACACACACGGUUAUUUUUUGAUUUUAUUUUUUCUCCGGUUAAAAGGCGAAUCCUUCCCCCCCUCGACACACACGCUACUGGAAGAUUAUUUAUAUUUUUUUUUUCCUCGCUGUCUCCUAUGCUGGCAACGUCCUGCGAGUGGCUGUUUUGCUUUUGCGCCGAGAGUACGGCUUCCUCCCCGCUUCUUCUGACACUUAUGGCUAAAAUCCACACACUGAUGUCUAACCUGUAAUGAAAGCUGAUCAGAUAAGACUUUUAUCAUUCUGAUGAGCCCAAGUUGCCUGGAAUGGAAAUUCAAGCUAAAGAAUUGACAUCACUUUAGGUGAGGCCCAAAACCCCUUUCUCUCCCUUCUGUCCUCAGCUAUGUUCCUGCUGUGACUUUCUGACUUCACUAGUCAUUGAGGGAACAAAAUAAUGAUUCCUCUCCAAGAUGCUAUAAUGAGACCUCAUAUUACAUGGACUUUUAGACUGUAGCAAUUGCCUUUCUCACUUGUUCUGAUACUCAGUUAAAUAUUUACCCAUUCUGAUCCUUAAGUUAUUAUAAUUGCACAUUAUUUAAGAAAUAUGAAUGGAAGAUGUAAAUCAAGAGUACUACAUCAGGUUGAUGUUUCACAGUCCUAAGUAAUACUGAGAAUAAUGAUUGUGUAGUAUCACUAUUGGUUUCUUAAGUCUGAAAUGCAAGACCAUAGUAAUGAAGAAAAGUACUCAGUGUGCUUACACAUAAUAUACAUUUCAGUCUGUACAGGAUGGAGGCCUACGUGCAUUAACUAUGGAAUCUGAGAGCAGGUAUUCCCUAUUAGGGGAUGUAAAAAUUUCACUUUCAGUAAAAAUCUCAAUGAAACCUUAGGAAUGACAUCUGAAAGGACAACAGUGUGAUUCAUGUAUGUCCUGCUAAACAGAACUAUGUAUCUUCUAUACCUUAGUCUUACAUUACUGUUGGAAAAAUGUGUGAAAAAUAGUAACUGGAAUUAUUUUAGGGAAAAACUAUACAUAACCUAAGUACAGAGAACUGGUAUCAGCAACAUCAUAAUUUUGUAUUUUUCUUUACUUUUUUCAUUGCUAUCUCUAUUGCAAAAUGCUCUUUUCAAAGCCACAUAACCUUCAGAAAAAAAAACAUAAAAAAAUUAGAAAACAUUUACUAUCAUUCCUUUCAGUUGGAAGGCACACUUUUUGAAAAUUUCACUCAUAGUAAUUUUAAUAAAAUCAGAGAAAAAUGUAAAUACACUGCAAAUCAUUUAUAUUUCCUCCUUUUUAAUAGACAGGUUUUACGAACUGAAGCAUUGGGUUUUUCAUUUGGCUGAUUUUCACUAAGGAACUUGGUUAAAAAAAAAAAUGAGGAAUCAGUUUCUUUAGCAAUACCAAACUUUGAACCUGAGGAAAAAAUAGUAACAUAAAUGCAUAGUACUAGCUAUUUGAUUACUUACAAGUCGCCUUAUACUACUUUUUCUGUGAGGAGCUCCAGAAUUACGUAUUUUCUGAGUAGCUGUAGUGUUCGUAGCCAUGAUGGUCUCAGCUUUUUGAGCCCCAAAGCCUGCUGUUUUCAACUGUUUCAGUCAAAAAAAACAAACAAAAAACAAACAAACAAACAAACAAAAAAAAAGAAAUUACCUCUCCCUUCAAAACUUGUUCUUACAUUUUUGUCAGUGAUCUAUAGAAGAGAGCAGUGGAAUCAGGAGAAGCAUUAGGCCCUAAGCCUGCUAACGUUCGUCUGCAUGUAGUCCAACUGAGUUUAAGAGGACUAGCUCGCAGACGUUAAGGAAGGAUUUUGAAAGUCAGUGGGAACAGAGCUCCCAAACUCUCAUUAUGUACUUCUGAAAAUCUUCCCCAAAGUCAUGGGAACAGCAGCCUGCAGGUCUGAGGCCUCUGCCUUCUGCUGCUUUCCUUUUCCCUUUCUAAAAGCCUAUCAGAUUAAAAAACAUGAGACCCGCUGAAGCCAGCCCCGCUGGGGAGCCGGUCGCAGUGAUGCGCUGGGUCUUUGCCGAGGCAGGGGUCCGCAUAGCCCGCGGGGAGCUCACAGGAACGACUCCUCCAGCAGCCCAAAGUCAAGUGCAAGCAGCGGCUCCGGCGGCACUGCAGCCUGCCUUCCCCCGCGGCUUCCAGCGACUCGCAACCUCCAUGUCGGCUCCCCCAUCUGUGAAAAGGGGAUAGGAGCACGAACCCAACCCUCAGGUUUUGACCUUUCAAUAGAGAGCUGAUUUUGGAGAACGGCUUGCUCCUGUGAUUGAAAAACUCUCUGGAAGGUUGAUGGAGCAUGAGAAUGGGAACCAGUGAAAGGACUGUACACACUUGAAAUGCUGCAUAAUUUAGUGUAACAAAAGGAUAUCUGGCUGGGAUGUGAACUCCCUGUCUACCUCUACACGUAAAGUAGCAUGGUCAUUCUAGAAGAUGAACUCCUAAUCCUAAUAACAGAUAAGUUACUGUUCUUGCUAACAAUCUUGGGGGGGGGGGGGGAGGAGUAAUUUUUUUUUUUUUUUAUCUGAAAUGGUUUAAGAAGCACUUAUAAAUCUGUCUGCCCCAAAAUUGUGGGAAGAGUAGCCUGCAGAUGUAACAAACUGCUUGGAGACUGACACAGUACUUGACAGAAGCUUAUUUUGAAAUUAACUCUUAUUUUCUUACACAUGAAAGUUGACAGGUUUUCUUGAGUUUUGGUUUGUUUUUUGGUUGGGUUGUUUGUUUAGUUUUUGGUGGUUUGUGGUUUUUUUUGCGUUUUUGUUUUUUUUUUCCCCCACAUCAGGCUUCCAGAUGACCAGAAGUUAGAUUGGAAAAUAACCCAAACGUUUUGUUUUGAAGUAAACAUCUGCAUAUCCUUUAGUUCCCCUAAUCAGGCACACAAUUGUUCAGUUCCUGGUUUGUGUCCCAUGAAGGUAUUGUGCACAGUUGACAAUGAAGUCUAGAUCUAGAGCUUCAAUAUGAAUAAACAGCUUGGCAAUGGAAAAAUGCCUAAUACACAUUUUAUAGUUUAUUAAUACAGCUGAUGUCGCUACAUGGAAAUUAAUGUUCAAUAAGAAAAUUCUGCAUUCAGCUUUCAGUAUGUGUUUCUAUUUCCUUGAAGUAUGGUAGACACCUUGGCAUAACGUAGCAGCACAUAAUGGUUUGUGGGUUUUGAAAAGGUGCAGGCCAUAUUGUGCUGCCUCAAAAAAACAAGGAUUUCAUCAUCCUGAAGAGAAAUACCACUUAUGAAUUAGUCAAUCUUGUGAUGCUGAUGUCUGUCAUACCUUAGCAGCACGUAAAUAUUGGUGUUAAGACUGUAAAUAUCUCCAGUAUUAACUGUGCUGCUGAAGUAAGGCUAGCCACUUCUGCAUGUGAGUCAUGAAAAAGGGUAUUUCAUGUAUUUCCGGAUGCCUUUUUUUUGUUAUAAUUUGUGCUGAUUGUUUACGUUCUUGGCUUUUGUUUGUAUUUACAUCUGUUCAGGAAUAAUAUUUAGGACUUUAUAGUAUCUGACGGCAAAUAUAAAACAGGCACAUACAACUUUGAAUGCUUUGGUUUACACUGAAGCUGGGUUUGUUAAAGGAGCCAUCUCAAGCUAUACCUGUCUAACAACGCUUUGGUAAGUGUGUUUGUAUGAAAAAAAUACUAAAAUGGUUUUACUUUAAAUAUCAGUAUUUCUUUAUUAAAACUCUUAAAAUUGUGUGUUCAUCUUUACAGCAUUUUCUCAAUGAGUGUAACUGGGAAAUGUUUUGUCAUGUUUUUAGCCAAGUGAGCAAACAAAGCAAACAUAUCUUAAGUUUUUAAUGUAACUUUUUAAACAUUUAAUUUCUUAAAUCACAAAGUCUAUAGACAGGCAACAGUUUUAUGGUUAGAAGUUUAAACUGUGUAUCUGACUGAAUUUACUAAUUUUUUUUCCUCAUCUUUCACUAAGAUUUUUCACUUGCAGGGGAAUCUCAUUGAGAUGAUUGAAAUUGCUGCAGUGAGAAUGGAAAUUACUUGGGCUCCUUUCCUUUUAAAAGCUGUAUGCAAGAACUGUGUGGUGAGUCAAAUGUAGACUAAUGGUUAUGUAAAUGUCACUAAUUUUAGAUACAGUCAAGAUCUUCAAGUGUGUUUCCUUUUAAGAUUUUAUUUUCUUCACUAUCAUGACUCAGUAUCACUUUCUAAUCUCAUUUUAUUAGCCUUGUUAUAUUUUACCAUUAAAAUACAUGUGCCUUUUUCAAAUAAGUGCUCACAACUUCAACUUAUAUAUUGUAUAGAUGUUUUAAAAUGAAAAAAAGCUUGUCUCCACUGGAGUUUUGUUGUGACUUAAGGCUUCACAAGCAUGCUACUGGUGCAGUUGCACAGGUACAAGCAUGAUGUAGAUGAAUCUUUAUUCAAGUUGUUGUGAUUCAUAUAUCUGUAUUAUAUGACUGUAUAGAAUUUCAGCCUGGUGUAUGUGCUGGUAAAGUUCACACCUUUCUCUGCUGCCCCUGCUAUGGAUUUCAACUGGUGAAAGUACUGCUGGCUAAAAUUUCCAGUUCAGUUCAGACCUCAAUUGUAAAACUAUGCAGUAUUAGAUAGCCUACAGCUUUUCAUAAAGUAAACAUUUCUGUGUUUACAUUUACCUGCUACAGGUCUCUUAAGGUAUGCAGCCAAAAUGAGGUUGACUACUGAGGAAAAAAAAAAAACGCUCUUUGGCUCAGACUGUAACUGUUUAACACUAAAGAUCUGCACUUGCUUUUCAGCCAUUUGAAAAUUUAGAAAUCCUUGGAAAGACCAGCCUCAGUGAGUUAUAAAAGAAAAAGACCUUAUUCUCCCACUGUUCCUCUCACUUUAAAGGUCACUGAUUAUUGUUAGCACAUUGCAAACUGUGAUGCUUGCAGAAGACCUUCCCAGGACUCUUGUAGAAUCCAGUACUUUAAUGUACUUAGGCUUUUUCUCUGACUUCUAGGACUGGAUGGGAAUCUAAAGAGCUGUUCAGAAAGAUCUGAGACCAUGCAACAAGUAAGUCUAUUUGCAUGGCUGUGUCAAGGUCCAGUAACCAGACCAUUUGUUCCUGACUACUUCAUUGUGCCAGUGCAGGCCUUCAUGUGAAUAGUUAAAACAGACUGCUUCCUUCUGGUUCACCAUGAAAACCCCUUCAACUGGCACAAGGCUGGGGAUGGCAGGCAGUGGGAAGAAGCAGAAGCGGAAAGGUUGAACUGCCUUGUUUGGUGGCCCUAGCAGCUUGUAACAGUUCAGUGAUAUGAUGAAAAUACAAUUUGAGCACUGUGAGAACCAGAGCUCAGCUGAGGAACCAAAGCUCCCGUCUAGAUUAAGAAAAUUACUUCAAGUGCUUAUGAAGGCCUACUCAAUUUAUUUAUAUCCUAAACCUUUGAAAAGAUCAUCUUAUUUUGCACAGUCCACAGUUGCCUUAAAUAAUAUUAGCAAUUGUAUUUUCCAGUUGUUUACCUUCAUGGACAGAGCCAUAGCCCAUGGCUGAAUGGAACUCUCUCCGCUUUGCAGCUCUUGAGAUCCUAAGAGUUGUCUCAUUUAACAAAGGAAGGCUUGCUGUUUUCAGGUCAGAGGGUUGUUUCUGCUAGGCUUAGGAACUGUAUGGGAACAAAGAUGCUUUAUUCAUAUAAAACAAAAAGAGAAGGUAGGCCUGCUUGAAAAUAAACUGAGACUAGCAGCUGUAUAGGAAUGAAGACAACUAGUGAGAGGAGCAUUAGUCUAAAAAUCUAAUGUUGAAAGGUUGGAGCUGAGAACUGAUAGUGGAAAGACAGAUCUGAUGAAAUGGAAAAUUCAACGGAUUAGGACAGGUUGGGCAAAACUGGGGGGGUUUGUUUGUUGAAAUUUGAACAAGCAGCAGCCUGACAAAAGGGAUCUGGCCUGAGGCAAAGAGAAUGAGUCACGCUUGGGGAAAGGGGCUUUCGCAUCUGGGAUCAUUCCUAACAUUCACAGGAGCACACUGUGCUUCAGCUCCAGAAGGGAAUGCAGACUGUUAAGUAGUAGGUUUUGCUGUCAUCUGUGAAAUCACGCAAUUGCAUCCCCCUCAUCAUAUUCAACACAGAGAGGGCAACCUUUAGCGUUCUCAGCUACUUCAUUAAUUUUGGUCCUGAAAAGAAAUUCCAAAGUAACAUAGAUGAGGUUGGAAAGGACCUCUGGAGAUCAUCUAGUCCAAGCAGGGACAGGCAGAGCAGGUUUUUUUAGGGCUUUGUCCAGUCAGGUUUGCAAUAUCUUCAAGGAUGGAGAUUCUUCAACCUGUCCUGUUCAGAUAGUUUUUCCUGCAUCUCAUUUUGUGCCUUUUGCCUUCUGUCCUGUCACUGGACUCAGCUGAGAGAAGCCUGGCUGUGUCUUUGCUACUCUCCCUUGUCCCCUGCAUCAGGAAUUGAUAAAUUCUGGUAAGAUUACACACACACACAAGCCUUUUCUUCUCCAGGUCGGAGUCCCAACUCUCUCGGCCUUCCUUCAUGUCAAAGGUGCUUCAGUUCUCUCAUUGUCAUUAUGGAAGUAAAUAAAGUGUUUCAACUAAUAUGGGAAUUGGAACUCAAAGAAGGAAAUGCUUUUUCUGGGGGGAGGUGCUGGAAACAAAACACAACCUAGUAACUGUGAAAAGAACAUGACGAUUACAAAAUGGAACACUAAGAAGUUGGGUAACUCCUGCUUUGAGAUUCUGCAAUCUUCAUUUGCCCCCUUGUGUUAGCAUGCUAUGAAGCAAUCUGCAUGAUCAUACAGAAUAUUUAAUCUAAUGAUAGGACUAGCCUGGUGUGGUACUGAGCUAGGGAAGAUGUUUGUGGGCUGAGCAUACAAGAAGCCUGAUGCUGCUAUAGGUAGAAAAUUUCUGUAGGCAACAGAACAAAAGACUGCAAGUAGAGGAAACCAUGUCCUCGUGGUUAUGUCAAAUGAGAAUUCCUGAGAAGUGAAUGUGAUGUUUUUCUGCUUUUAUCCUUAUAUGUUGCUAAACAGCUUACCAGGCUGUUGUUUUCAUAGUACUUGUAUUCCUCCUUUCAGAGGUGUCUGACUUAAGAGCCUAACAGGAAACACUGGCUGUUCACAUUUGCAGCUGAGCUUCUUAGGAGAUGUUGUUUGAAUUAAAAUAUCAUGUGAUGUGAUGUCUGUUGAGUCUCUUCUUAAACAAGUUACCUCACAUUCUUGCAUGCUACUAUAGUUUCAACAUCUCCAUGUCACAUUUAAAAUAGGGUACUUACCUUGAAGGGCUUUUGGUUCUUGAUUUAAAAACACAACACUUUUAUUUAGUAGCUGUACUACAGUAAUCCUCAAGGAAUUUUCUGUGGCCUUUAUUCUGAUCUGAGAGGAAGAGGUGAGUAUUGUACAUCUUUUAAAAACCAGGUUUGUAAUCAACUUUCCUUGUUGUCAGCUGAAGAUGAGAAACUGAGUUUCCACGUUGUUGAUUCAUGGUCUAUUCAUCCAGUCCUGUGAACUCCAAAAAGUUGUGAUUUGUGUCCAGUCUUGUCAGGGAUUCAUUUUGCAUAUAUAGCUAUUAAUAUUAAACACUUGUUUGUCCCAUUUUUGUAAUGUGGUUUCAUGAGUAAUAUCUUUAGUAUUCUGCAGAAUCUUUUACACACUAAAAGUAAUGUUCAUGUUUGAGCUUCAGCAUAUUUUACAAUAAAUUUACCUAUAAGGA